UAGGGAAUCUUCCGCAAUGGACGCAAGUCUGACGGAGCAACGCCGCGUGAGUGAAGAAGGAUUUCGGUUCGUAAAACUCUGUUGUUAGAGAAGAACAGCGCAUAGAGUAACUGUUAUGCGUGUGACGGUAUCUAACCAGAAAGCCACGGCUAACUACGUGCCAGCAGCCGCGGUAAUACGUAGGUGGCAAGCGUUGUCCGGAUUUAUUGGGCGUAAAGCGAGCGCAGGCGGUCGAUUAAGUCUGAUGUGAAAGCCCCCGGCUCAACCGGGGAGGGUCAUUGGAAACUGGUUGACUUGAGUGCAGAAGAGGAGAGUGGAAUUCCAUGUGUAGCGGUGAAAUGCGUAGAUAUAUGGAGGAACACCAGUGGCGAAGGCGGCUCUCUGGUCUGUAACUGACGCUGAGGCUCGAAAGCGUGGGGAGCGAACAGG
rnacentral:rRNA from 1 species